rnacentral:lncRNA from 1 species
UGAUGAUGAUAAUGAAGAUGAGAUGAUGGUGGUGAAGAUGAUGAUCCUCCAUCGUUUUUCUUCUUUUUCCUUCAAGCUCUUAUUUCCUCUUUCUCUCUUCUUCUUUCUUCUCUCUUUCUUUCUUGCUCUUAUCUCUUCCUUUUCUUUUUUCUUUCUGAUAUCUCUCCUUCUCUCUUACCUACCAACUCUCUUUUCCUUCAUUCUUAUCCACUUCUUCUUUUUCUUUCCGCACCACACAAUUAUAUAACAUAUA